rnacentral:rRNA from 1 species
UACGUAGGGGGCAAGCGUUGUCCGGAUUCAUUGGGCGUAAAGAGCGUGUAGGCGGCCUGAAAGGUCAGCUGUGAAAACUCGAGGCUCAACCUCGAGACGUCGGUUGAAACCAUCUGGCUAGAGUCCGGAAGAGGAGUGUGGAAUUCCCGGUGUAGCGGUGAAAUGCGCAGAUAUCGGGAAGAACACCCGUGGCGAAGGCGGCUCUCUGGGACGGUACUGACGCUGAGACGCGAAAGCGUGGGGAGCGAACAGG